UCCAAGCGAUGAUAAUGUACUGAAACAGAAUUUCUAGGCAAAGCAGAAUCUAUUUGUGAUUUAAUAAAGCGUGUAAGUCGUUGGAAGGCCCAAGGACCAAAGGAAAUCAACAAAAGUAGGCCCACAAGGGGUCCCAAAAUUGAGGGCAACAAGGGGUGUUCCAAGGCAAAGUGGACUGUUCAAGGUGCCCUUGUAAUAAUUGUUCCUGCACCAACUGUAGGGCCGCUUGAACCUUUUCUUGAGGCAUGGACCACUGAUUGUUCCAGACUGGAUCAUUUGACUUCCAAGAUAUUUUAUCAGCCUGGAGUGCAGGAGGAACAGUGGUCUCUAUGAAAAAAGGUCAGGAGCUUUGAACUUUGGAGUGUAUCCUGUGUUUGACCUAUCCCUUUUCAAUGUGUGGCAGUAGCCUUAAGGGGCCAGGUUGAGGGCCAGUGUCUAGAGGAGAGCACUGUUGUAUCUGCCCCUGUAUCUAAAAGGCCCUGAAAUUGUUUGCCAUCAAGCCAAAGAGACAUCA
rnacentral:sRNA from 1 species